rnacentral:lncRNA from 1 species
CCGCCGUGAUGUGGGGAGGGGAAGCCAGUCUUUGCUCCCUCACCCUGCUCCACGAGGCGGAGGUGAGAGAGAACGUUUACCAUGGUGCUAGAUUUCUGACUUCAAAUAACUCAUUUAAAACAAACAAACAAAAAACCCUACGAUAACAGAAUAGUGGAAGUUUUCAGACAUACAAAAAUGUAAUCUCCAUGUACCCAAUAUUCAACUUUAAUAAGUGGAGCUGAGCCUCCUCCAGUUCUGUAUAAGUGCUGGGGAUUGUUUAGCUCACACCUUUUCAGUAGUUAUUGAAAUAUCAUAAUGCAGUCUAUGGCCAUACCACCCUGAAUGCGCCAGAUCUCGUCUGAAAUAUCAUAAUGCGUAACCCCCUCUAAGUCAAGGAGGUUGUGCUCAAGUCUGCCCAGGCUUGUGGAGUUUCACCCUACAGAGGCACAGCUUAGUAUCCAGUCGGUCUGAUAGAAGACAAGCAUUUUCUCCAUCCAUUGAUGCUUCAGGCUUUCUAGAAAAGAGAAGAGAAAAAUAGAAGAGAGGCCGGGUACAGUGGCUCACGCCUGUACACUGCUCUGAAGGAGCACAGAACUUUGUUGGGGGGACAAGGCAUAAAAGGUAACCAGAAUUCACUAUCUUGAGGACAGCACCAAGGGAAUGGAGACUUGAUUUGGACUGGGGGACUGGAUGAUCUGAAAGUGCUGAGUUUAAGGGUAAUUGCUCAAUUUUCUAUCCAUGUCAACAGGGAAAACAGGUAAAAGUGACUGAACACAGCCAGGCAAUGAGGCUGGAAGAGAUGUGAGAUGCUAGGCUGUCAAUGGAAUUAGAAAAAUGCUAUCUGUAGAGGACUGUCAUCCCCCUGUCUCUCCCUCUUCCCAUUCAUCUGUCUCUGGGCUUUCUAACUCUCUUUUGGACUCUCUCGUUUUUUUUGUUAUGUUGGCAUUGCUUCCUUAGGCUUAAUAUAGCAUAUGAGACUUCCUAGGUGGUUCCUAAACCUAGUUCCUUGGCCUCCCUAAUUUUUAAACAAUGAUUGUAACUACUUGAUAUCAUUUGGAUAUGUGUCCCACCAUGUCUAUUUUAUUUGCUGUUGUUACUGGCAUGGUACCUUUCACAUAGUGGGUGUUCCAUCAGUAUCCUUGAACAAAUGAAUUUCUGUCCCUGUGGCUGUACUGCUGUCACGCUCGGUCCUCCUGGAGAGCCACAGCCCUGAAUGGAGAAUGAACAAGAAUUUGGGGACUUCCUCCUGGUGUUUUUCAAUUUUUACAUAUUUUUAAGCAGCAGCACCCUUUGAUAAAUUCUUUUGCAUAGCUCCAGUGUUGUGUUGGAAAAGGAGAGUUGCACAACUGGGGAGCAAGGAGCCCAGUCCUGUCCCCAUCGCAUAUGCAUGCAUGCACACACACACACACACAUGCG